CACUAGAAAGCUAAACUUGGGUCUCAGCAUUGGCCUUUUAAGCCAAAGAGUGGUGGCUCCCAACCACCUCUAGUGA
rnacentral:tRNA from 1 species